ensembl:lncRNA
UUUAAUAAGAUAAUCAUUUGUAGCUAUGGUUAUUUGACAAUUUGGUUAAUUCCUCUAGGGGAACAGGCUGUUGAGGAGUUGAAUGGUGCAGGUCAGUAUACUGGUAUAUUGGUUCUUCUUGCUAUAACCAUAUCUGUACUUGUGAUGUUGUGGGAACCAUAAACAAUAUUGUAGUAAUACAUGAUCACUUGUGUCUUCAGUUGAAGAUAAGGAGGAAGCUCUCAAAGUAGAUGCUGCUGCUGAAGUUAAGUUGGCCUACUGUCCACCUGGAUGGCUUAAAUAUGAAUCACUCUCCUUUCAACAUGAGAUCAAUUCUGUCCUGGCUCAAUGCUGAGGCCCAAGCAAAUGCUAAAGCGUCUUCUGCUCAGUGUUCCUGGGAUAAGCUCUGGAUCCACCAUGACCCUGACAAGGAUAAAAUGGUUACUGAAAAUGAAUGAAUGAAAAAUGCCAAAUGGGGCAUGUGUGGUGCAGCUCGAUUGACCCGCAAUCAGUGUGUAACGCCUAACUGUACUGCGCUUGCAACCAAUCACUGAUCACCAUUGUUCCCCAUGACCAGUUACUGAUUACCACUGUUUUCCAAUGACCAAUCACUGAUCACAACUGUCAGUCCCACCCUUGCAUUUAUUUGUUCUUCUUUUUAAACUUCCUUCUUGCAGAUAUAGUAAUAAACAUUUCCCUACUAUUCAAUUUUCACAAAUACUCAGUCAGCACAUCUUUUUUGUUCUUUUAUAGUAUUUUGUAAAUGUACUUAGUUCAAAGAUGACUUGUUUAUGUAAGAAAUAACUUCUAAUCUACUUUUACCUAUUAUUUUUACCUAAAUUUGUAAUUUGAUGAAUAAAAUCAAUAUGCAAAUUAA